rnacentral:rRNA from 1 species
AACGAACGCUGGCGGCAGGCUUAACACAUGCAAGUCGAACGCACCUUUCGGGGUUAGUGGCAGACGUGUGAGUAACGCGUGGGAAUCUACCCUUCUCUACGGGAUAGCUCCGUGAAACUGGAAUUAAUACCGUAUACUUCCUGAGGGAGUAAGAUUUAUCGGGGAAGGAUGUGCCCGCGUUGGAUUAGCUAGUUGGUUGGGUAAAGGCCUACCAAGGCGACGAUCCAUAGCUGGUAUGAGAGGAUGAUCAGCCAGAUUGGGACUGAGACACGGCCCAAACUACGACGGGAGGCAGGAGUGGGGAAUAUUGGAAAAUGGGGGCAAGACUGAACAAGCCAUGCCGGGUGAGUGAUGAAGGCCGUAGGGUAGUAAAGCUCUAUCAGAGGGGACGAUAAUGACGGUACCAACAGAAGAAGCACCGGCUAACUACGUG